UUUCAAUAAGCCAAUGGUUGAAUUUCAUUGUUGAUGACAUACAAGAAAAAAUUCAUGAAGAUUUCCUAGAAUAAAGUUUUAAGGUGUAGAAUUUUUGGCCACUGCAAACAGAGUCUAGCACACAGAAAAUAUUCAUUCGCAGUGAGUCGCCCAGGAAAUUUAGAGGACUGUUAUACUCAUUCGACGCCACAUUUUUCGACCAAUCAAAAUCCAAGAAAUUUCCUUUUUUGGCUACAAUAAUAAAUAGAAUACAAUUACAUUUACCUGUGCAGUACAAUCUCUGUUUCCGAGGUACAAAAUGAAACGAAAGAGGAAGAAAACGGAAAAGUCAAACUAAAUUUAUAUAUGUUGAGAGAACAAUUGUAUAGCGGUAAAUAGACUCUAACAAAAUGGCGUCAGGUGGCGGAAGUACUCGAGGAAGACUUCCAGAUGAACAAUAUAACAAGAUUCAAGAUAAUUUCGUAUUUCUUAUCGAUCACAUAAAAUAUAAUCCAAUAUGUGUAGCAGAUUCUUUAUUUGAAAAACAUGCCUUCAAUGAGGAUGAUAUGGAGGAAGUAGAGAAGGCAAAGAAGGAUAGUAAAAAAGUCGCCGCUAAGAAAAUACUGAACAUAGUUUUAGGGUGUGGUCACACUGGUUAUGAUAAAUUUAUAGCUGCUCUAUAUGACAAUCAAUAUUAUAAUGCUGUAUUUAAGCUCGAACCAGAUUAUAAAGGCCAUCGAGAUAACGAACCAGGUAUUACUACAUAUGACGAAUUAUUGGCAGGAUUAC